rnacentral:rRNA from 1 species
AGCGAACGCUGGCGGCAGGCCUAACACAUGCAAGUCGAACGAACUCUUCGGAGUUAGUGGCGGACGGGUGAGUAAUACGUGGGAACGUGCCUUUUGGUUCGGAAUAACUCAGGGAAACUUGUGCUAAUACCGAAUGUGCCCUUCGGGGGAAAGAUUUAUCGCCAUUAGAGCGGCCCGCGUCUGAUUAGCUAGUUGGUGAGGUAACGGCUCACCAAGGCGACGAUCAGUAGCUGGUCUGAGAGGAUGACCAGCCACACUGGGACUGAGACACGGCCCAGACUCCUACGGGAGGCAGCAGUGGGGAAUCUUGCGCAAUGGGCGAAAGCCUGACGCAGCCAUGCCGCGUGAAUGAUGAAGGUCUUAGGAUUGUAAAAUUCUUUCACCGGGGACGAUAAUGACGGUACCCGGAGAAGAAGCCCCGGCUAACUUCGUG